UUUUCCUCCGGAAGUGCGGAUCCCAGCGGCGGUCGUGUAGCUGAGCAGGCCUGGGGCUUGGUUCUAUGUCCCUGUAGCUAUGUUUCCAGUGUCCUCUGGGUGUUUCCAAGAGCAACAAGAAACGAAUAAAUCUCUGCGCCUCCACCCCAGAGACCCGGACCAAGUUCACACAGGACAAUCUGUGCCACGCCCAGCGCGAGCGCCUGGACUCGGCCAACCUGUGGGUGCUGGUGGACUGCAUCCUUCGCGACACCUCCGAGGACCUGGGACUCCAGUGUGACGCCGUGAACCUGGCCUUCGGGCGCCGCUGUGAGGAACUGGAGGACGCGCGGCACAAGCUGCAGCACCACCUGCACAAGAUGCUGCGGGAAAUCACAGAUCAGGAACACAACGUGGUGGCACUGAAGGAGGCCAUCAAGGACAAGGAGGAACCUCUGCACAUAGCCCAGACCCGGCUGUAGUUGCUCUCACACCGGCCCAACAUGCAGCUGUGCCGCGAUGCAGCCCAGUUCAGCCCCAGCUCACACCCCCCAACACCCCCAAGCUGGUGAGUGAGGUGGAGGAGCUGUACAAGUCCAUCACAGCGCUGCGGGAGAAGCUUCUACAAGCGGAGCAGUCCCUGCGCAACCUCAAGGACAUCCACAUGAGCCUGGAGAAGGACGUCACUGCCAUGACCAACAGUCUCUUCAUCGACCGCCAGAAGUGCAUGGCCCAUCGUACUUGCUACCCCACCAUUCUGCAGCUGGCUGGCUACCAGUGAGCAGCGGCACGGUGCUUCCCCCCAAUCCCCCAAAUAAACAGUGCGUUAGCUUUC
ensembl:lncRNA TEKT4P2 tektin 4 pseudogene 2